GACGAACGCUGGCGGCGUGCUUAACACAUGCAAGUCGAGCGAGGCCCCUCCUUCGGGAGGGUGUCCUAGCGGCGAACGGGUGAGUAACACGUGGGCAACCUGCCCUCAGCUCUGGGAUAACUCCGGGAAACCGGGGCUAAUACCGGAUACGACCUCCACGGGCAUCUGCGGAGGUGGAAAGUUUUUCGGCUGAGGAUGGGCCCGCGGCCUAUCAGCUAGUUGGUGGGGUAGUGGCCCACCAAGGCGACGACGGGUAGCCGGCCUGAGAGGGCGACCGGCCACACUGGGACUGAGACACGGCCCAGACUCCUACGGGAGGCAGCAGUGGGGAAUAUUGCGCAAUGGGCGAAAGCCUGACGCAGAGACGCCGCGUGAGGGACGAAGGCCUUCGGGUUGUAAACCUCUUUCAGCAGGGACGAAGCGAAAGUGACGGUACCUGCAGAAGAAGCACCGGCCAACUACGUG
rnacentral:rRNA from 1 species